GGCGGCGUAGCUCAGUUGGUCAGAGCACGCGGCUCAUACCCGCGGAGUC
rnacentral:tRNA from 1 species